rnacentral:ncRNA from 1 species
AUAGAUAGAGGUGCGGUACUUAAGAGUAUUAUUAUGGAUUUAAGCGUGUUAAAAUAAUAGGAAAGGAUUUAUCGCCGAAGUAUAUAGCCUAAGCUUUACAGCUAUAUAACUGGGGGUAUGUAUAAUAUGCAUAUUUCUGUCACAUUUUUAUGUGGUGAGCUAUCAU